GGAAGAAUGGAGGAUGAAUUGAAGAGGACUCUGAGACAAACACGUGGCCACAAACAUCUCGUCAAUCGGAGCUUCGGAUUGAAAGUUAUGGAAG